rnacentral:rRNA from 1 species
UACAGAGGGUGCGAGCGUUAAUCGGAAUUACUGGGCGUAAAGCGUGCGUAGACGGUUAUUUAAGUCGGAUGUGAAAGCCCCGGGCUCAACCUGGGAAUUGCAUUCGAGACUGAAUAGCUAGGGUACGGUAGAGGGAAGUGGAAUUUCCGGUGUAGCGGUGAAAUGCGUAGAUAUCGGAAGGAACAUCAGUGGCGAAAGCGACUCCUGGACCAGUACCGACGUUCAGGCACGAA